rnacentral:rRNA from 1 species
GAUGAACGCUGGCGGCGUGCCUAACACAUGCAAGUCGAGCGAGAAGUCUUGGAACAAAUCUUCGGAAGAGUGAAGAGAUGGAAAGCGGCGGACGGGUGAGUAACGCGUAGGCAACCUGCCCCAUACAGAGGGACAGCCUUGGGAAACCGGGAUUAAUACCUCAUAAUGCAUCUACACUGCCUAGUGUGGAUGCCAAAGAUUUAUCGGUAUGGGAUGGGCCUGCGUCUGAUUAGCUGGUUGGCGGGGUAACGGCCCACCAAGGCAACGAUCAGUAGCCGACCUGAGAGGGUGAUCGGCCACAUUGGAACUGAGACACGGUCCAAACUCCUACGGGAGGCAGCAGUGGGGAAUAUUGCGCAAUGGGGGAAACCCUGACGCAGCAACGCCGCGUGAUUGAAGAAGGCCUUCGGGUUGUAAAGAUCUUUAAUCAGGGACGAAGGAAGUGACGGUACCUGAAGAAUAAGCUCCGGCUAACUACGUGCCAGCAGCCGCAGUAAAAC